GACGGAAGGUGCAAGCGUUGCUCGGAAUCACUGGGCGUAAAGGGUGCGUAGGCGGCCGUGCAAGUCUGGCGUGAAAGCCCCGGGCUCAGCCCGGGAAGUGCGCUCGAAACUGCGCGGCUCGAGUGCCGGAGGGGAGAGUGGAAUUCCUGGUGUAGCGGUGAAAUGCGUAGAUAUCUGGAGGAACACCGGUGGCGAAGGCGGCAUCCUGGACCGGUAUUGACGCUGAGGCGCGAAAGCUAGGGGAGCAACAGG
rnacentral:rRNA from 1 species